AGAGUUUGAUUAUGGCUCAGGAUGAACGCUAGCGACAGGCUUAACACAUGCAAGUCGAGGGGCAGCAUAGAAGUAGCAAUACUUUGGUGGCGACCGGCGCACGGGUGAGUAACGCGUAUGCAACCUACCUAUCAGAGGGGAAUAACCCGGCGAAAGUCGGACUAAUACCGCAUAAAACAGGGGCACCGCAUGGUGAUAUUUGUUAAAGAAAUUCGCUGAUAGAUGGGCAUGCGUUCCAUUAGGUAGUUGGUGAGGUAACGGCUCACCAAGCCGACGAUGGAUAGGGGAACUGAGAGGUUGGUCCCCCACACUGGUACUGAGACACGGACCAGACUCCUACGGGAGGCAGCAGUGAGGAAUAUUGGUCAAUGGGCGGGAGCCUGAACCAGCCAAGUCGCCGUGAAGGAAGAAGGAUCUAUGGUUCGUAAACUUCUUUUGCAGGGGAAUAAAGUGCAGGACGUGUCCUGUUUUGUAUGUACCCUGAGAAUAAGGAUCGGCUAACUCCGUGCCAGCCGCCGC
rnacentral:rRNA from 1 species